rnacentral:rRNA from 1 species
GUAGGUGGCAAGCGUUGUCCGGAAUUAUUGGGCGUAAAGCGCGCGCAGGCGGUCCUUUAAGUCUGAUGUGAAAGCCCACGGCUCAACCGUGGAGGGUCAUUGGAAACUGGGGGACUUGAGUACAGAAGAGGAAAGCGGAAUUCCAAGUGUAGCGGUGAAAUGCGUAGAGAUUUGGAGGAACACCAGUGGCGAAGGCGGCUUUCUGGUCUGUAACUGACGCUGAGGCGCGAAAGCGUGGGGAGCAAACAGGGAUUAGAUACCCUGGUAGUCCACGCCGUAAACGAUGAGUGCUAAGUGUUAGGGGGUUUCCCGCCCCUUAGUGCUGCAGCUAACGCAUUAAGCACUCCGCCUGGGGAGUACGGCCGCAAGGCUA